rnacentral:snRNA from 1 species
GUGCUCUCUUUGGCAGCACAUAUAUUAAAAUUGAAACAAUACAGAGAAGAUUAACAUGGGCCCUGCGCAAGGAUGACACACAAAUUCAUGAAGCAUUCCAUAUUUUU